UACGUAGGGUGCAGGCGUUAAUCGGAAUUACUGGGCGUAAAGGGCGCGUAGGCGGCACUGUUAGUCAGGCGUGAAAGUCCUGGGCUCAACCUGGGAACUGCGCUUGAUACGGCAGAGCUAGAGGAUGGAAGAGGGUCGCGGAAUUCCCAGUGUAGAGGUGAAAUUCGUAGAUAUUCGCAAGAACACCAGUGGCGAAGGCGGCUCACUGGCCCGGUACUGACACUGAGGUGCGAAAGCGUGGGGAGCAAACAGG
rnacentral:rRNA from 1 species